CCUACGGGUGGCAGCAGUGAGGAAUAUUGGUCAAUGGGAGAGAUCCUGAACCAGCCACGCCGCGUGAGGGAAGACGGCCCUAUGUGUUGUAAACCUCUUUUGUCGGAGAACAAAACCCGGGACGUGUCCCGGACUCCGUGUAUCCGAAGAAAAAGCAUCGGCAACCACCGUGCCAGCAGCCGCGGUAAUACGGAGGAUGCGAGCGUUAUCCGGAUUUAUUGGGUUUAGAGGGUGCGUGGGCGGUCCGUUAAGUCAGCGGGAAAAUUGCGGGGCUCAACCCCGUCGAGCCGUUGAAACUGGGAGACUUGAGUGGGCGAGAGGUACGCGGAAUGCGCGGUGUAGCGGUGAAAUGCAUAGAUAUCGCGCAGAACUCCGAUUGCGAAGGCAGCGUACCGGCGCCAGACUGACGCUGAGGCACGAAAGCGUGGGGAUCGAACAGGAUUAGAUACCCUUGUAGUC
rnacentral:rRNA from 1 species